rnacentral:lncRNA from 1 species
UCCAGUGGCGAUCAAAUUACCAUUGUUAACGGAGUGGCGAAUCUCGAUUUUGGCGACAUUUGUUAUGGCGAUCAGGGCGCCUUAUCGUUAGGCAACGAAUGAGCGUAUCUUGAUUUUGGCGACAUAAAUAACGAUGAUCAAGAUGCCUUUAUCUUUUUAAUGAAACGGCGAUCUUAAUUUUGGCGACAUCAAUCUUUUUCAUAACUGGCGAGGUGAACCAUAGGCGAAUCAUAAAAAUUUCCAAUUAUAAUAUAAAAUUACAAAUCACAGAAUCAUUGGCUCACCCAUUC